AGUUUAUUCCUCUUAGAAGUGAUUUAUACAGUUUCAAUUCCGAACACCGAGCCAGAGAGGAGAGGUUAUCCAAUGGACAGAGAUGCGCUAGUUUAUACUGUGACGGAUUUAUCUUCUGCAGCUGAGGGCUUUCUGUUUUUUAUAGAUGUUCGAUUUGUAUAAACAGAUAUUCUACUGAAUUUCAUUCUCGGGGGAUUUUAUUUUUUUGGCCUUCUUGUGAUGAUGCGAGUGUAUAUAAAUUAUAUAUCAACCUGAUAAAUACUGAAAUGGAUGCAACAUCUGUUACAGAGUGUCGUUAUAAAUCCGUGGAACUGUGUACAGCUAUUUAAAUUCUCUGUGCGUCUGAUACGAAUCAGCUGUUUCAGUGAAGAGAAUUAUUCUGUCGAAUUGUGUUUCUUAUCCCCUGGACAUUUUUCACUUGUGAACUGCAUUAUUAAUUUUUGUGAUAAAAAAAGGAGGAAAAACAUUAACACAGAAGGAUAUAUGUAAAUCUGUUUAAAUUACAUUCCUAAAUACCUAUAUACCCAUGGAAUUUUACCAGAGGUUGAAGCAGUGAUAUUAAAUAAUUUUUUUUUUUUUGUGCCAUGAUGAAAAUAUCCAGCAUUUAGCCUGGCUUAUGUCAAAUCUCUCAAGAGAGUACAGUUCAAUUUGCCAACAAGAGACAAGAUAUUGAAUAACAAUUAGAGCACCUGCAACCUUUUUUUUUUUCUUAAUAUAUAUAUCCUAUUCUCUAUCUUUCUCUCACCGACCAUUCAUCUGCAGAUAUCUCUGUGGAGAAGAGGUGUAUUAUACUGAACUGCGUCACUCUCAUCAUCAUAUACAUAAUACAUUCUCCCAGGGAUUAUUCAACACACUCAGAAACAAAUGGAUGUAUAGCAACCCCUUCAACCAACCAACCAACCCUAAAAAAAAAAAAAUCCAUCUCCUAAGGACUCCAAACAAUGGAGGCACCUGUCUAUCCGUAGCACCUAAAUAGCAUUUACAUGUGGAUCGGAAUGACUUGAAUGUGCUACCAAGUGUUUCCAUGUUUCUUCUCGCCACUUGGCUGUCUUGGAGGAUAAUUCGCUUUCAGUUUACUAGGAGCUUUUUUUUUUUCUUUUCGGCUUUGCCGGUAUAUUAUUAUAUCGGCUACACUACUACGCCUGAGAUGGAUUUAUGAUUACUCCUGUGUGUUUUAUUUAUAGGCUUUGAGACAUGGAGAAUGAUAUUUGUUACUUCAGGAUUGAUCAGACUUAGAUAAAAAAAAACUGCUU
rnacentral:sRNA from 1 species